UGGGGAAUUUUGGACAAUGGGCGCAAGCCUGAUCCAGCAAUGCUGCGUGCGGGAAGAAGGCCUUCGGGUUGUAAACCGCUUUUGGCAGGAACGAAACGGUGUCCGCUAAUACCGGGCGCUAAUGACGGUACCUGCAGAAUAAGCACCGGCUAACUACGUGCCAGCAGCCGCGGUAAUACGUAGGGUGCGAGCGUUAAUCGGAAUUACUGGGCGUAAAGCGUGCGCAGGCGGUUGUGUAAGACAGGCGUGAAAUCCCCGGGCUCAACCUGGGAAUGGCGCUUGUGACUGCACGGCUGGAGUGCGGCAGAGGGGGGAUGGAAUUCCGCGUGUAGCAGUGAAAUGCGUAGAUAUGCGGAGGAACACCGAUGGCGAAGGCAAUCCCCUGGGCCUGCANUGACGCUCAUGCACGAAAAGCGUGGGGGAGCAAACAGGAUUAGAUACCCUGGUAGUCCCACGCCCUAAAACGAUGUCGACUGGUUGUUGGGGUCUUAGGUGACCCCAUAACGAAGCUAACGCGUGAAGUCGACCGCCUGGGGA
rnacentral:rRNA from 1 species